rnacentral:rRNA from 1 species
UACGUAGGGUGCAAGCGUUAAUCGGAAUUACUGGGCGUAAAGCGUGCGCAGGCGGCUCUGCAAGACAGAUGUGAAAUCCCCGGGCUCAACCUGGGAAUUGCGCUUGUGACUGCAAGGCUAGAGUACGUCAGAGGGGGGUAGAAUUCCACGUGUAGCAGUGAAAUGCGUAGAGAUGUGGAGGAAUACCGAUGGCGAAGGCAGCCCCCUGGGACGUGACUGACGCUCAUGCACGAAAGCGUGGGGAGCAAACAGG